UAGGGAAUCUUCGGCAAUGGACGAAAGUCUGACCGAGCAACGCCGCGUGAGUGAAGAAGGUUUUCGGAUCGUAAAACUCUGUUGUUAGAGAAGAACAAGGACGUUAGUAACUGAACGUCCCCUGACGGUAUCUAACCAGAAAGCCACGGCUAACUACGUUCCAGCAGCCGCGGUAAUACGUAGGUGGCAAGCGUUGUCCGGAUUUAUUGGGCGUAAAGCGAGCGCAGGCGGGUGCUUAAGGCUGAUGUGAAAGCCCCCGGCUCAACCGGGGAGGGUUAUUGGAAACUGGGAGACUUGAGUGCAGAAGAGGGGAGUGGAAUUCCAUGUGUAGCGGUGAAAUGCGUAGAUAUAUGGAGGAACACCAGUGGCGAAGGCGGCUCUCUGGUCUGUAACUGACGCUGAGGCUCGAAAGCGUGGAGAGCAAACAGG
rnacentral:rRNA from 1 species